GGGUGUGAUCAUACCAUCAAUUAUUCAUCGGAUCCCAUCAGAACUCCCAAGUUAAGCGUGCUUGGCCGAGAAUAGUACUAGGAUGGAUAACCCCUGGGAAGUCCUCGUGUUGCACCCC
rnacentral:rRNA from 1 species